GACGUAGGAGGCGAGCGUUGUCCGGAUUCAUUGGGCGUAAAGAGCGCGCAGGCGGCUUGGUAAGUCGGAUGUGAAAUCCCGAGGCUCAACCUCGGGUCUGCAUCCGAUACUGCCCGGCUAGAGGUAGCUAGGGGAGAUCGGAAUUCCUGGUGUAGCGGUGAAAUGCGCAGAUAUCAGGAGGAACACCGGUGGCGAAGGCGGAUCUCUGGGCCUUACCUGACGCUCAGGCGCGAAAGCUAGGGGAGCGAACUGG
rnacentral:rRNA from 1 species